rnacentral:lncRNA from 1 species
GAGGAAGUAAACGGCAUUAAGAGAGAGUAUCAAUGAAACCAUGGCUUUCAGAAUGAAUCUCUCUGAAGAACAUGAAACAAAGAUAAAGACAGUCAAGAGUCUGAUUCAGGGGGUUGAAUCAGAUUUACCUGAACACAGCAAUGUUUCUGUGAGGAAAAACCAACCAAUGGAUCUUUCAUAUCUCUGCAGAGAGGAAGACUCUUCUGUUGAGUCCAGUCUGUGUGAGAGUCAAUCUCCUGAACCCAGCUGUGUGUCCAUGAAGAGUGACCAGUCAAUGAAUCAUCCAAUUGGAUUCAACUCAGGAGACUCAUCUGCUGAUCUGAGGUGCUGUUUAGUUUACAGUAUAAGAAAUAUAUAUGAUAUUCAUUAAUUUACUGAUGUGCAUUAAAUACAUUAAUACAUAUUUCCAAACAUAUGCAAUAUUUGUUCAACUACAGUCAAAAACAUGAAGGAUCAGAAUCAAAUACAGUAAAGAAGAACUUGGACUCCAUUUUCAAGGUUGGUUUUGUGUGUGUAUGUCUGUGUGUGUGUCCCUUUUGGGUAAAAGUAUUAAGAAAUCCUCUCUACAAUAGUUACAUUUACUUUCCCACUCACCUGAUACAUGUAAAGUAAUAUGUAGGCCACAACAAAGCUGAUCAAUGACUAUGAAGGUAAAAGAGUAGCAAAACUCGAGAGCUUGUUGAUUGUUGUUAAUAUUCUUAUUUGUAAUUUAAAAAU